AUUGAACGCUGGCGGCAGGCCUAACACAUGCAAGUCGAACGAGUGGCGGACGGGUGAGUAAUGACUGGGAAACUGCCCGAUGGAGGGGGAUAACUACUGGAAACGGUAGCUAAUACCGCAUACCAUCGGAUGUGCCCAGAUGGGAUGAGCAAGUAGGUGGGGUAACGGCUCACCUAGGCGACGAUCCCUAUCUGGUCUGAGAGGAUGACCAGCCACACUGGAACUGAUACACGGGCCAGACUGCUACGGGUGGCAGCAGUGGGGAAUAUUGCACAAUGGGCGCAAGCAGGAUGCGGCCGUGCCGAGUGUGUGAAGAGGGCCUUGGGGUUGUAAAGUAUUUUCAGCGAGGAUGCGUUACUCGCAGAAGAAGCACCGGCUAACUCCGUGACAGCAGCCGCGGUAAUUC
rnacentral:rRNA from 1 species